CAGUGAGUGUAUCUGUGUCUGUCAGUGAAUGUGUGUGUGUGUCAGUGAGUGCUGUGUCUGUCAGUGAAUGUGUGUGUGUGUCAGUGAGUGUAUCUGUGUCUGUCAGUGAAUGUGUGUGUGUGUCAGUGAGUGCUUGUGUGCCUGUCAGUGAAUGUGUGUGUGUGUGUCAGUGAGUGUAUCUGUGUCUGUCAGUGAAUGUGUGUGUGUGUCAGUGAGUGUAUCUGUGUCUGUCAGUGAAUGUGUGUGUGUGUGUCAGUGAGUGCUUGUGUGCCUGUCAGUGAAUGUGUGUG